AAAUGACUCAUUCAACGUUUUUUGGUGUACUUACUUUAUGCCCGGCACUGUGCUAGGUUCUGGAAAUAUAAAACAUCCACGCAGCCCAUGUGAGUACCAGCCUGUUGGACCUUAAACUGCUGUCAGCGAUUUAACAGAGGUAACACGAGAAGACCAGCUCCCCGCGGUUUCCUCCCUCCACCGGUUUCCCAGCACGCUGACCUCCACCUACCUCUCUCAGUUCCCAGGAGGAUAAGAUUGCCCAGAGGCGUCCAGCAGUGAACACAGUAAAACUGUUUAAGGUGAUUGCAAACCUAUGGAUGAGAGCAAGGAAGAAUUUUCACACCAUCAUAACAUUUUAUUCCUCACCUGACUGGGAGCAGCUCGAAGGGAAGGACAUGUCUCCAAAGACAUGAGGAGUAUCCAACGUGGCAUUUGAGGCGCAAGGAAAAACCUGCAUAUCCCAAGGUCUCAGCCCCAUCAGCCAGCCAAGGGAUCCACAGUGACCCUUAAGAAGUUUCAUAAAGAAGCUAAUUGCUUAAAUGAGAUUUGAGUCAAGAAGGAUGACCUAGCCAUAACCUCUACAUAUCUCAUUACUCCAAAACUUAAAUGGCUACAUAAGAGGACAGUCCAGUGACAGACAUGGAAAGAGGCUUAGAGGUCAUCUCAUCCAUCACACCAUUUUUACAGAGGAAAGCAAAAUGCCAUCCAGAGAAGGAAAGUAACAAAGCCAUCUAGCCCCAGACCUGGGAGUAGCAGCUGAUCACAGCGGGUUGGACACAAGAAGCUGCUUCCAAAAAUGUUUCCUUCCAUUUGUCCUACAGCGAAGAUGCCAGACAACAAAAUUUUAUAAGCAUGUCUCUAGCUCUAACUCACUAUUCAACUAAAGGACAAAUUAAAUAGGGAAUGAGAUAAUCUUAACUUCAUGAGAUUUGUUCUUAUAUGCAGUUUCUACCUGAGAAACCAAUCUAUGCUAAAGAUAAUAUUUGUGCUUUUCAAUAAGGCUGGUAAAAUAUUUGCACUUUGAAGAUCAGAGCGAUAACAUUUAUUCAUUCGGGUGAAACUUACCAGGAUUUGGUAAAUAUAAUCAUAGCAAAACAAAAAUGAUUUGGGAAACUCUGUGACCAAAACCAACAGGUGUAUUCAGUACUGCUUUGAAGGUCACCUAAUUCUAAUAACAUUUAUAUUUAUAAAUGUCCUCUAAAUCUUUUAUCUUCUGCAAAUAAAUUAUUUCUCACAAUUACAAGGUUAGUCCAAUACAUCAGCCUAUUUUCAGAGUCCAGAGUGCUAACCAUUACACGAUGCAACCAGCCUAUUUUCAAGCAUGUCCUCAGUGUCUCCAGGAUGAGGACACACUGUGGGGCUUUUCACACUUCUCUCUCCCAUCACCUGCCCCUCUCCUUCCAUAUUUAAUAUAUUGUUGCAUUUCUGUCAAAUUAGCUGGAAGAGUAGUGUUUAAUCAGGUGUACACACUGCCACAGUAACCUGGAAACUUCAAAUUCUACCCCUAAUCACUAAUGUUGAAGACUUGCUAAAACAGUUUUUUUUGUUUGUUUUGCUUUUUGAGAUGGAGUCUAGCUCUGUUGCCCAGGCUGGAGUGCAGUGGUGCAGUUAUCAGCUCACUGCAACCUCUGCCUCCUGCGUUCAAACAAUUAUCCUGCCUCAGCCUCCCGAGUAGCUGGGAUUACAGACAUGUGCCACGAUGCCCAGCUAAUUGCUUGUAUUUUUAGUAGAGAUGGGGUUUCAUCAUGUUGGCCAGGCUGGUCUCAAACUCCUGACCUCAAGUGAUCUUCCUGCCUCGGCCUCCCAAAGUGCUGGGAUUACAGGCAUGAGCCACCAGGCCCACCUGAACAGUUUUAAAAAUUGUGUAAAUAACACCUACCAUAACAUUUACCAUCUGAACCACCUUUGAGUGUGCAAUAUAGUGUUAACUGUAUUGCAUAUUGUUGUAUGACAGAUGUCUAGAACCUUCUCACCUUUGCAUAAUUGAAACUUCAUACCCAUCAAAGAACAACUCUCCAUUUCCUCUCCCCCCAACUCCUGGCAACCACAUUCUGCUUUUUGUUUUCAUGAGUUUGAUUACUUUAAAUACCCCAUGUUCGUGAAAUCAUGCAAUAUUUUUCUCUUUGUGACUGGCUAAUUUCACUUAGCAUAAUGUUUGCUGCUAAUCAUCUUUGACAUGCACUGUUCUACCCAACAAACAUGAGCUGAGGGCCUAGUGCUGGCUAACAUUGCCAGGAAUAGCUGUCAUACUAGAAAAAUCUACUUGUAAAAUGGUAAAAAUAGCAGCAUGGAUUUGUAGAGGGUUUUCACACAUAACUAUGUCAUCAUUUAAAGCAGGGUUGCUCACCGUUGACACUAUCAAUAUUUUAGACCAGAUAAUUGUCUGUGGUGGGGGCUGUCCUGUUCGUUGUUAGAUGUUUAGCAGCAUACGUGGCGUCUACCCACUAGAUGCUAGUAGCAUCUUCCCUCUCCCACUGUGACAACCAAAAAUGUCUCCACGCAUUGCUAAAUGUCCCCUGUGGGGCAACCUUGGACCAAUAAGCUACCUUCCAAAAGAAGUAAAAUGCAGCUAACAAAACUGUAUGAGGUUUGUAUAAUGACUUGUAAUAGCCGGGCAUGAUGACAUGCACCUGUAGUACCAGCUACUGGGGAGGCUGAGGUGGGCGGAUUACUGGAGCCCAGGAGUUCAAGGCUGCAGUGCAUUGUGAUCCAGCCUGUAAACAGCCACUGUACUCCAGCCUGGCCAACAUAGCACGAUCUGCUCUCUAAAAAGCAAAACAAACAAAAACAGUGUAUGAAGCUACCUGGCACAUAACAGCCACUUAAUAAAUAAGAGUUGUUAUUAUUUAAUAACAUCAUAUAAAAUAUAUGAAAUUGAGUAGCUGGAUAUUGAGUAUAACCCAUUAAUGGGACAUUGAACAAUAGAGGUUCACUGGAUAGGAACUGGAAUAUUUUUAUUCGAAAUCUGGCUCUACCUCUAAUUAGAUGUGUGAUGUUGGCAAAAUCUCUGAGUCUCUUUGGGUCUCAGUUCUACCAACUGUUAAGGGAGAUUACAUAAACUUGCCCUGUGUACUUUAUAAGGUUAUAAUGAUAUUAAAGUUAUAUAAUAAAAGGAAGGUACUUUGAAAGUAGGAACUUGUUACACAUGCAAGCCAUUGUUAUAAUGCAAAUUUUCUGUAACGACUUUAUUGAAACUUGAUUCAUAUACCAUACAAUUCUCCCA